UCGGGAAUUUUGGGCAAUGGGCGAAAGCCUGACCCAGCAACGCCGCGUGAAGGAUGAAAUCCCUCGGGAUGUAAACUUCGCAAGAACGGGAAGAAUAAGUAAGGGUUAAGAUCUCUUACGAUGACGGUACUGUUUGUAAGCUCCGGCUAACUCCGUGCCAGCAGCCGCGGUAAUACGGCGGGGGCUAGCGUUGUUCGGAAUUACUGGGCGUAAAGCGCGCGUAGGCGGCUUUGUAAGUUAGAGGUGAAAGCCCGGAGCCCAACUCCGGAAUUGCCUUUAAGACUGCAUCGCUAGAAUCAUGGAGAGGUGAGUGGAAUUCCGAGUGUAGAGGUGAAAUUCGUAGAUAUUCGGAAGAACACCAGUGGCGAAGGCGACUCACUGGACAUGUAUUGACGCUGAGGUGCGAAAGCGUGGGGAGCAAA
rnacentral:rRNA from 1 species